ACGGAAGGCAGCAGUGGGGAAUAUUGGGCAAUGGGCGAAAGCCUGACCCAGCGACGCCGCGUGAGGGAAGAAGAUCUUCGGAUUGUAAACCUCUUUCAGCAGGGAAGAAGCAAGUGACGGUACCUGCAGAAGAAGCCACGGCUAACUACGUGCCAGCAGCCGCGGUAAUACGUAGGUGGCGAGCGUUAUCCGGAAUUACUGGGUGUAAAGGGUGUGUAGGCGGGGAGGCAAGUCAGGCGUGAAAAUCAUGGGCUCAGCCCAUGACUUGCGCUUGAAACUGUUUUUCUUGAGUGUGGGAGAGGUAAGUGGAAUUCCCAGUGUAGCGGUGAAAUGCGUAGAUAUGGGGAGGAACACCAGUGGCGAAGGCGGCUUACUAGACCACAACUGACGCUGAGACACGAAAGCGUGGGGAGCAAACAGGAUUAGAUACCCUGGUA
rnacentral:rRNA from 1 species